rnacentral:rRNA from 1 species
GCGUAAAGCGAGCGCAGGCGGUUCCUUAAGUCUGAUGUGAAAGCCCCCGGCUCAACCGGGGAGGGUCAUUGGAAACUGGGGAACUUGAGUGCAGAAGAGGAGAGUGGAAUUCCAUGUGUAGCGGUGAAAUGCGUAGAUAUAUGGAGGAACACCAGUGGCGAAGGCGACUCUCUGGUCUGUAACUGACGCUGAGGCUCGAAAGCGUGGGUAGCAAACAGGAUGUCGACGCGGCCG